CAGCAGCCACGGUAAUACGUAGGUGGCAAGCGUUGUCCGGAAUUAUUGGGCGUAAAGCGCGCGCAGGUGGUUUCUUAAGUCUGAUGUGAAAGCCCACGGCUCAACCGUGGAGGGUCAUUGGAAACUGGGAGACUUGAGUGCAGAAGAGGAUAGUGGAAUUCCAAGUGUAGCGGUGAAAUGCGUAGAGAUUUGGAGGAACACCAGUGGCGAAGGCGACUAUCUGGUCUGUAACUGACACUGAGGCGCGAAAGCGUGGGGAGCAAACAGGAUUAGAGACCCCGGUAGUCCCUGUCUCUUAUAC
rnacentral:rRNA from 1 species